rnacentral:lncRNA from 1 species
UGGAGAUCUCUGGCACACUGCAGGUGAGGUGCUUCCCCUUAUCCAAACAGUGGGAGGCCCUUGUAUCCUGUCCUCUACAUGCAAGAGCUGGGAAGACAUCCUGUGUGAAGGAGCUGGGUAGAGCCCAGCAGGACUGCAGGACCCUACAAGGACAGUCCUGAUCAGCUUCCCUGGGCAACUGGUUAUCCUGAGCAAUGAGGAUCUAGGGCCAUCCCAGCCAGGAUGUCCUCCAGACACCAAGGUGCCCAUAACAGAGAGUCUCAUGUUGCCCCCACCUCAAGCCACUUCCCGCUUGAGCUGCCCUUGAGGGUGGGAACAGGACCUGAGCCAAGCAGCGCUCUGGGGAUGACUACUGAGCAAAUGCAGCAAACGUGGAUGGAGGCCGAGAGGACAAGGGACCACACAGCCUGGAGCUCACACUCAGAACUACCCUUUCCUGUCCUCUCUAGAUUCUCAGUAGCCACAGAUGCUUCAGGUCUCCACUCAUCCCAAAGGAGAGCAAGAGGGGGUACCAGGUCAUUCCCUACAGGUGGAAUAGGGCCUGCACAUCCUUCUAAUGGCACUAGGAACAGGGCCUGUGCAAACCCUGCCGGCAUGGACUUGAUCCGGAGUGUGGCUUCCAGUGCAGGCACGGCCUCUCAUCCAGUCCUUGCUGCUUCACAGAUCUCCAGG